rnacentral:piRNA from 1 species
UCAUAUCAUUCUGUCAUACGUAUCUCCC